UGCGUAGGCUGUUUGAUAAGUCAGGCGUGAAAUCCCUCGGCUCAACCGGGGAACUGCGCUUGAUACUGUCGAACUCGAGUCCUGGAGAGGGUGGCGGAAUUCCUGGUGUAGGAGUGAAAUCCGUAGAUAUCAGGAGGAACACCGGUGGCGAAGGCGGCCACCUGGACAGGUACUGACGCUGAGGCACGAAAGCGUGGGGAGCAAACA
rnacentral:rRNA from 1 species